rnacentral:tRNA from 1 species
GGGCGGUUAGCUCAGUGGUAGAGCGUCUCGUUUACACCGAGAGGGUCGGGGGUUCGAAACCCUCACCGCCCA